rnacentral:misc_RNA from 1 species
GAUGAAGAACGUAGCGAAAUGCGAUACUUGGUGUGAAUUGCAGAAUCCAGUGAACCAUCGAGUCUUUGAACGCAAGUUGCGCCCGAAGCCAUUAGGCCGAGGGCACGCCUGCCUGGGCGUCACACGUCGUUGCCCCCCCAUCUACUCCUUCGGGAUUGCGGGGGGCGGAUGAUGGCCUCCCGUGCGCCUCGCCGCGCGGUUGGCAUAAAUGCCAAGUCCUCGGCGACGCACGCCACGACAAUCGGUGGUUGCGAAACCUCGGUUGCCCGUCGUGUGCGGUCGUCGCGCAUCGAGGGCUCGAAAAAAUUGCCGGGUUCCGGCUCGGCUUUCAACGCGACCCCAGGUCAGGCGGGGUUACCCGCUGAAUUUAAGCAUAUCAAUAAGCGGAGGA